rnacentral:lncRNA from 1 species
AGACUAUAUACAAAUUGUUGUUACAAAAAAAAUCGGUUAGCAAAAUCGAUUUGACUGCUGUGGCAGAGGCGAUAAAGAAGGUGAGAGAGAGAGAUCGAAAAAAAUUGUAAUUAAAAUUGAAUUUCAAUUUGUGGGUGUGUCUCUGACCCCCCAUCAGAUCGGGGGCAUGGACAUGGUCAAUUGCAUGUGUGAAGGGGUGGACAACUGACCACGCCCCACCAACAGCUAAGGUCGCCAAAAAGGGAAGAGCGGGAGGAAGCGGCAGACAUUUGUGGAGACGACUUUGGAAGUUGUCAUGGCGCCAGAACAGAACAGAACAGAACAGCGCCAAGAGUGUGCAAUUUAUUUAAUUAGAUGCAUAAAAACUCAUUAAGAUAAGAGCUGCUGCCUGUCGGCGGCGGUGGUGGUGGCGCCUCCAGCCCCCCGCACUGUCCCUCCGUCAUUUUGUUCAAGUGCGCGAAUCAACAAAUGCGCCAAAGUGCAGCCCAGGACUCUGGCAUGCUCCUGAGCAGGAGAGGAAUUGUUAUGCCGCUGCUGCUGCUCACUUGCCAGCCCUAAGAGCCACCCAAAACAGCCAGUGGAAAAAGUAGUGCCUGUAGCGGAGUGGAGGUUGGGAGAUUUACUAGCGACAGGAUUGAGUUGGAGCCAGCAACCAGCAGCAGCUCUCUCUUUCGUCUCUACCUUUCUCCCUGAGUAAUUAACUUGAGAAACGAUGCUGCUGCUGCUGCCUGUGAUGACGACAAUAAAACGUCAACUUAAUUAAGUGACACAAGUGCUUCAGGUUGUUGCUGUUGCUGUUGUUGUUGUCCCACCUCACCCUCUGCAGUCCUAACUGCCUGCGCCUUGCUAAGUAAUCACUGAUUCAUGCUUUCUCC